rnacentral:rRNA from 1 species
CCCUUAGAUGUUCUGGGCCGCACGCGCGCUACACUGAUGCAUUCAACGAGUCUAAAACCUGCUCUGAUAGGGGUGGGUAAUCUUUUGAAUGUGCAUCGUGAUUGGGAUAGAUGAUUGAAAUUUUUCAUCUUCAACGAGGAAUGCCUAGUAAACGCAAGUCAUCAGCUUGCAUUGAUUACGUCCCUGCCCUUUGUACACACCGCCCGUCGCUCCUACCGAUUGAAUGAUCCGAUGAAUAUCAUGGAUUGAGGAUGCAGGUAGGUUCACCUAUCUUCAUCUUCGAGAAGUGAAGUAAAUCUUAUCAUUUAGAGGAAGGAGAAGUCGUAACA